rnacentral:rRNA from 1 species
GUCUUUUUGAAUUUAAUUUAAAGUCUAACCUGCCAAGUGAAAAUUUAACGGCCGCAGUAUUUUGACUGUGCGAAGGUAGCAUAAUCAAUAGUUUUUUAAUUAAAAACUGGAAUGAAAGGUUGAAUAAGAAAUUAACUGUCUUAAAAUUAAUUUUUUAUAAUUUUAUUUUUAAGUUAAAAAGCUUAAAUUUUUUUUAAAGACGAGAAGACCCUAUAGAAUUUAAUAAUUUCAUAAUUAAAUUAUUUUAGGUAAAAAUUUUUUUAAUUAUAAUAUUAUUUAAUUGGGGUGAUUAUAAAAUUUAAUAAACUUUUAUUAUUAAGUUCAAUUAUUUUUGUGUGCUUGAUCCAUUAAAUGAUUAUAAGAAUAAAUUACCUUAGGGAUAACAGCGUAAUUUUAUUAGAAAGUUCUUAUUGAAAAUAAAGAUUGCGACCUCGAUGUUGGAUUAAAAUUAAUUUUAGGUGUAGAAGCUUAAAAAUUAGGUCUGUUCGACCUUUAAUUUUUUACA